rnacentral:rRNA from 1 species
GAUGAACGCUGGCGGCGUGCCUAAUACAUGCAAGUCGAGCGAACAGACGAGGAGCUUGCUCCUCUGACGUUAGCGGCGGACGGGUGAGUAACACGUGGAUAACCUUCCUAUAAGACUGGGAUAACUUCGGGAAACCGGAGCUAAUACCGGAUAAUAUAUUGAACCGCAUGGUUCAAUAGUGAAGGACGGUUUUGCUGUCACUUAUAGAUGGAUCCGCGCCGCAUUAGCUAGUUGGUAAGGUAACGGCUUACCAAGGCAACGAUGCGUAGCCGACCUGAGAGGGUGAUCGGCCACACUGGAACUGAGACACGGUCCAGACUCCUACGGGAGGCAGCAGUAGGGAAUCUUCCGCAAUGGGCGAAAGCCUGACGGAGCAACGCCGCGUGAGUGAUGAAGGUCUUCGGAUCGUAAAACUCUGUUAUUAGGGAAGAACAAAUGUGUAAGUAACUAUGCACGUCUUGACGGUACCUAAUCAGAAAGCCACGGCUAACUACGUG